UACGUAGGGGGCAAGCGUUAUCCGGAUUUACUGGGUGUAAAGGGAGCGUAGACGGCAGAGCAAGUCUGAAGUGAAAGCCCGCGGCCCAACUGCGGGACUGCUUCGGAAACUGCCCGGCUAGAGUGCUGGAGAGGUAAGCGGAAUUCCUAGUGUAGCGGUGAAAUGCGUAGAUAUUAGGAGGAACACCAGUGGCGAAGGCGGCUUACUGGACAGUAACUGACGUUGAGGCUCGAAAGCGUGGGGAGCAAACAGG
rnacentral:rRNA from 1 species